AAGGAAAUCCCUAAAGGAAAAUAGAAGUCUUCCCCAUUAAAGUAGAUUGAGCCAUGACUGGAUUUAAGAAAAGCUUCUGUCGUAGUUUCUGCCCUGAAUAAGCGCAGGGUUGGAUAACUUGUGCUCCGUUAGCAACUGCGUUCGCUCGAUCACCCCUAACAUCUGUGACAGUUUCAGCAACUUGUCGCGGCUGAGGCAAAGUUAACAAGAUUUCUUCUGGUCAGCUGGUAGGUAUCCCCAUUGCUGUCGUGUGUUCCCAAAAUAGAACAUGUUAAAAGUCUAUAGAACGAGUUAUCACGAGAUUCUGCCCUCAACCCGAGAGAUAACCAACACAGAUGACAAUUAGAAUAGUUGUCGCA
rnacentral:lncRNA from 1 species